GACGCCCUAAGUCUACCAACCAAUUUUCUCUCCCCCAACUAGCCCCCAACCAGUGUUAUUAAAGGCAAGGAAAGGCGCCAAAUGAGGCACGAGGCGAGGUUGUCUUGCCUCAUGUCACCCGAGCGAGGCGUGCCCAUGUGGAGAGAGGUGAGUGCCUCUCUCGCCUAGGUGCUAAGGUGCGGCAAGGAAAAGUUUUUUUUUUU
rnacentral:misc_RNA from 1 species